AUGAGCUUCACCACCCUCUCCACUACCUUCUCCACCAACUACCAGUCCCUGGGCUCUGUGCGGACUCUCAGCCAGUAAGUCCAGCCUACCAGCAGCCCAGCCAGUGUCUAUACAGGUGCUGGGGGCUCCGGAUCUGGGAUAUCCCUGUCUUGCUCCAUCUGGGAUGGCUCUCUUGGAUCUUCAGGCCUCGUGGGAAUGGGCUGAGAGUCUCAACGGUGCUCCGGACUCCAACAACUCCAUGCAAACUAUGAAGAGGACAACUAUCAGUAAGGUCGUGGAUGGUAAAAUGAUGUCCAAGACCAAUUACACCAGAGUUCUGAGG
rnacentral:lncRNA from 1 species